GACGGACGCUGGCGGCGUGCCUAAUACAUGCAAGUCGAGCGGAUGAAAGAGGAGCUUGCUCCUCUAGAUUCAGCGGCGGACGGGUGAGUAACACGUGGGCAACCUGCCCUGUAGAUUGGGAUAACUCCGGGAAACCGGGGCUAAUACCGAAUAAUCCUUCGGACCUCAUGGUCCGAUGUUGAAAGACGGUUUCGGCUGUCACUACAGGAUGGGCCCGCGGCGCAUUAGCUAGUUGGUGAGGUAACGGCUCACCAAGGCCACGAUGCGUAGCCGACCUGGGAGGGUGAUCGGCCACACUGGGACUGAGACACGGCCCAGACUCCUACGGGAGGCAGCAGUAGGGAAUCUUCCACAAUGGACGAAAGUCUGAUGGAGCAACGCCGCGUGAGUGAAGAAGGUUCUCGGAUCGUAAAACUCUGUUGUGAGGGAAGAACAAGUACCGGAGUAACUGCCGGUGCCUUGACGGUACCUCAUUAGAAAGCCACGGCUAACUACGUGCCAGCAGCAGCCGCCG
rnacentral:rRNA from 1 species